rnacentral:lncRNA from 1 species
GGCUCUGACACCAGCCUGAGUCUGUAUCUUUCUUCUUGCAGGAGUGCGUCAUGAACAAUGCCAUCUGUACUCGGGUCUAUGAGAAGGUACAAUGAGGACUGGCUAACUCGUCAUCCUGGACAGCAGUCAGCUGGCUGAGGGAAUAAGCUCAAUUCAAUGAGCAGGUCGUACAGAACCACACUGCUUCACUUCUUUGGUUUUAUUUUUCAUGACUUUUCAUCAUAGACACUUUACCCGAAACCCAUGUCAGACCGUUGGUUUACCCAGGAUCAUUCCUUUGGUUAGUAAAUAAAUGCGUUUGUGCC